UAGUCUAGAACAGACCUGGGAGA
rnacentral:piRNA from 1 species